UGCCAGCCGCCGCGGUAAUACGGAGGCUCCUAGCGUUGUUCGGAAUUACUGGGCGUAAAGGGAGCGCAGGCGGAAUGAUUAGUCUGAAGUGGAAGUCCGGGGCUCAACCUCGGAAGUGCUUCGGAUACUGUCAUUCUUGAGAUCGUGAGAGGAAAGCGGAAUUCAGGGUGUAGCGGUGAAAUGCUUAGAUAUCCUGAGGAACACCAAUGGCGAAAGCAGCUUUCUGGCACUGAUCUGACGCUGAGGCUCGAAAGCGUGGGUAGCGAACGGGAUUAGAUA
rnacentral:rRNA from 1 species